GAGAGACCUAAGGGUGGUCCAGAAUCUUGGGGAUAUUCCUUGAGUAUUUUUUUUUUUUUAUGUUUCCCAGCGCUGCUCUCAAGUUUUGAAUGAAUCAUCGCAUGUCCUUCCAUUGUUUGUUGCUAGGCAGGAUGGCAAGUCUUGAUGGAACUUUGCUGUCUUCCAGUUUUCCCUAGUAUCUUUGUGAAAUGUGCUAAUUUUGUUGGCUCCAUGGUGCACCUGUUGUGGGUUUUCCAUAGGCACGGAAGGGACCGGUGUUGUCAAGGAGGGUCUGGAAGUGUCGUGAUUUGAGUUCCUGUAGAGUGUAACACCAGGAUCGCUUGUCCUCUUCGUAGUGUUCUGGCCGUUGCUUGGUGAGUUCGGUGUAGAGGGGAGGAGUUGCAAGAGAGUUGGUCAGGGUCAAUCUAGAUGCGUCAUCAUCUUUGUGGCGUUCUGGCUGUUACUAUGUUUCUGUUAAGGUCUUCUUGUAGGUAUUUAUUGAAACGUGACUCACUGGUUACAUGACUGAUUGGUUGGGUGGCUAGCGCAUUGCUAGGCUGCUUCUGUUAUGGUUGCCAAUGCGCCGACGCUCCUUAGUGCUUUGCUCAAUCAUUGGUGGUCAUGUUGAGGUGUUCUCAAGGUGUUUGAUAAAAUGUUGCUGAGUGGUUGAGCACUGGUACUUUGCUGCUCCAGUUAUGGCUGCCAUUGCUCCCAACUCCUAUUAAAUGUUUAAAUUGGUUUUCUGCUUGACCAUUGGGUAUUAUCUUGCUCUUGACUUGCCUGGCCCUUCUUUUUCCGACAGGAGUUUGAUACCUUGACUCCUCCCGCUGGUGACCUAGAAACCUUUUGGAGAUAGGCCUUAUGCUGCUAUGCCAGCUGUAUCUAUAUCUGAUCGGUACUUGUCUGAGUGGAGCUGACUGUUUUGGUUGAUGUGGAUGGCCUGAUGACGAUUGUUCAGAGGGUUUGGUUGGGUCUUUCUGCUAUGUUUGUGACUGAAGGUGCUUGGACCUGUUCAUCAUUGAUUUUUUGCAUCUGUCAUGAUUGUUCUGAGGGCCUAGUUUCGGCUUUCUUAUGGGUGUUUGGGAAAACUUGUAUGAAUGGUGUGUGGCUGGUGCAUUGCUAAGCCUGCUCCAAUUCUGGUGAAUUUGCUUGAUUGUUCAAUAGCAUUUGAUGAUUGAGUGGCUGUUUGCUACUCCCAUAUAUUAUGACUUGCUGUGAUUGA